AUGGGGUCCCGUGGGGUACGGACAUACCGGGGACACCCCAAAAAUGGGGGUCACCCCCAUAGGGGUACCCCUAGAAGGGGGUCACCCCAUAAUGGGGACUCUGGGUACACGUGGUCUGGGGACACCCCGAAAUGGGGGCACCCCAAAAAGCGGGGACCCCCGCUGGGGACCCCCAGAGCAGGGGGACCCCAAAAUGUCCCCCCCCCCCCCCCCCAAUGGGGUCAUGGCCCGGUCUCCCCUAUAUCAAUAAAGCGUGUCUGCCCCGCCUCCUCUCGUUCCCUAUUGGCUCGCGCGCACGCCAAUCCGCUCUGCCCCCGGGCGUGAUUGGGUAAGAGGGUGGUGGUGGGCGGGGCACGCCCCCCAGCGGGAGCUGCGGCUGUGAUUGGUCGCCGCCGGGCACGCGGUGGGCGCGCCUCUCUGUUGCUUAGCCAGCCCAUGAUUGGCUAACAGGACAAGCAGGGAGGGCGGGGUUAGCCUUCAUCUCGCUCUCUGAUUGGCUAGCGAAGCUGUCAGCACAGCGCGAGGCAGGAGGCGAGCCCAACCGCAAUCCACAGCCGGGAGGGCGGGAUUUAGCGAGGCUCUGCGAGCGCUGAUUGGUCGCCGCGCGUUCUUCCGGCGGAAGCGGCGCCUGAGGCGAGGG
rnacentral:lncRNA from 1 species